rnacentral:rRNA from 1 species
AUUGAACGCUGGCGGCAGGCCUAACACAUGCAAGUCGAGCGAGCGGCGGACGGGUGAGUAAUGUCUGGGAAACUGCCUGAUGGAGGGGGAUAACUACUGGAAACGGUAGCUAAUACCGCAUACCAUCAGAUGUGCCCAGAUGGGAUUGGCUAGUUUGUGGGGUAAAGGCCUACCAAGGCGACGAUCUGUAGCGGGUCUGAGAGGAGGAUCCGCCACACUGGGACUGAGACACGGCCCAGACUCCUUCUGGUAGCAGCAGUGGGGAAUAUUGGACAAUGGGGGGAACCCUUAACCAGCCAAGCCGCGUGUGUGAAGAAGGCCUUAUGGUUGUAAAGCACUUUAAGCGAGGGGGCGUUACUCGCAGAAUAAGCACCGGCUAACUCUGUGCCAGCAGCCGCGGUAAUAC